rnacentral:lncRNA from 1 species
AUGGAGAGCAUCACGGCCACCGCUCAGCCCACGUGUGCAGAGUGUGAUGCUCGUGUCCCCCUCCACCACGGCGGUGCCCCCGUCGUUCCUGUAGGUCAGGUCCACUCCCUCUGCUGGCCCAAGGCUGACUUCUGUCCUCCACACUACAGUGCAAAGCCCCCGCCUUCAUCUAGCCUUUAUGCCUGAACCCGCCCAGAGCUGUGGUCACUCUGGUCAAGACACAGAUCUGAGUGAUGGACCCCUCGCCUCUGCUCUGUCGCCACCCCCUACAUCCCCACCACCCUUGGUUCAGAGGGUGUAUGUCUCUCAUGGCACCAGGCACAGGCUUGGCGGCUGCAGACGGAACAGCCUCUUCUUGGUCAAAAGAUUCGCUUCCUCUGAAAAUUGUGCCGGAGCCCGAUCACGUUGGUGCCGGAGUUUCCCUGAGGAUUAGGACUGACGAGCCUGGGCGCAGGGCCUGGCAGAAGCUGCUGGAGGGCCACAGUUCAAGCCACGUUUUGUGUGGCUCAUGGUCUCCACACAAGAGUGAAUGUGCUUCGUUGUAUAAUAAACGGCUCUCCAAAGGGAUGGGACCGUCUCACACUUGUAACAGCAACGUCUGAGAGUGCCAUCUUCUCCGCAUGUUUGCCAGCAUUUGCUGCUGUUCAUCCUUGUUGUUUUAGUCUUGUAUCCACUGUGCUUAUAAUUUGCAUUUCCUUGGGACUAUGAUGUUGAGAAACGUUGAUGUAUGUAUGGGCUGUAUUCUUAGACCUUUGGUGAGGGGUCUGAUCAAGUCUUUGGUUCUUUUUAAAAACUGGCUUGUUGUCCCUUUGUUGUUCAUUUGUAGGAAUUCUCUACGCGUUCUGGAUACAAACUGUCUGUCAGAUAUACGUGCUGCCAAUAUUUUAUCCAUUCUGCACCUGUCCUGAUGGUGUCUUUUUAUAAGCAUUUUCUGACCACAGUCUUGUGAUGAGCAGAAACUUUACAUUUUCAUCAUAUCUAAUUUACCCAGUUUUUAAUUUUGUGCUAGUGCUGUUUGUGUUCUAACAAGAAAACCUUUGUCAGGGUCAUAAGAUUUUCUCCUAGGCUUUGAUAACUCUCGGAGUAGAUCCAGCCUAAUGCCUGUGCUCGGAUGGCUUAUGAACUAAGCAUGAUUUUACAUUUUUUAAAUAGCUGAGAAAAAAAAUCAAAAGUAGCAUUUUGCUACAUGCAAAAACUAUAUACGCGAUUCAAAUUUCAAUACACAUAAAGGUUUAUUGGAACACAGCCUCAUCCACUUUUAUGGGCUGCGUGUGGCCCACUUUUACACCACAGAGGCAGAGCUGAGGAAUUGUGUCCUUGAGACCUAAAAUAGUUGAUAUCUGGCUCCUUAUAGGAAAAGUCUGCCCACCCGUUCUAGAAGCUCCUAUGGCUCUGGGUUUCGGGUUUGGGUCUAUGAUCCAUCCUGAGUGAAGUUUUGUGUUUGGAGUGAGACAGUGGUCAAGUUGCAUUCAUACAGAUACCUUUAAACGGUUGUUUGAAAUAUGUGAUUGAUCGGAAGACUCAAGGAUGCAGCCCAAAUUCCUGGACCUGGCAAAAAGCACCUCCUUC